UACGUAGGGUGCGAGCGUUGUCCGGAAUUACUGGGCGUAAAGAGCUCGUAGGUGGUUUGUCGCGUUGUUCGUGAAAACUCACAGCUUAACUGUGGGCGUGCGGGCGAUACGGGCAGACUGGAGUACUGCAGGGGAGACUGGAAUUCCUGGUGUAGCGGUGGAAUGCGCAGAUAUCAGGAGGAACACCGGUGGCGAAGGCGGGUCUCUGGGCCGAUAUCGACGCUGAGGAGCGAAAGCGUGGGGAGCGAACAGG
rnacentral:rRNA from 1 species